AGCAAGUGAAUAUGCAAGAUCACCAGAAAAGUACUCACAGAUUAUACAUUCAUGUCUAUCCAAACAAUAUUGUUUCUACUUCAAAAUGGAUGCAAGAAAUGAUGGAAGUCGAAUAACAAGACAAAUUGUUGCGGAUACCAUUAAA